UACGUAGGGGGCAAGCGUUGUCCGGAAUUAUUGGGCGUAAAGAGCUCGUAGGCGGCUUGUCACGUCGAUUGUGAAAGCCCGGGGCUCAACCCCGGAGGUGCAUCCGAAACUCUGGGGCUGGAGGUCGGAAGAGGAGGGUGGAAUACCCAGUGUAGAGGUGAAAUUCGUAGAUAUUGGGUGGAACACCGGUGGCGAAAGCGGCUCUCUGGUCCGGACCUGACGCUGAGGCGCGAAAGCGUGGGGAGCAAACAGG
rnacentral:rRNA from 1 species